CAUGUUGCAGCGAUGCAGAGCCUCAUGCAGCUGCGGCUCAGGAGCCUCAGAGCAUCAGGACGGUUAAAAGACGGACUGAUGUGUGUGUUUCUGAAGCUGCUGCUCUCCUGGGAUUCUCCCACACAGACGUCUGCAGGGGGGAAAAACAACAAUUCAGAGAGCCGCAGCUCUGCAGGUGGAAAAACCGCUGGUUGAUGAGGGAGGUCAGAGGAGAAGGGUCAGAACUGGUUCGAGCUCAGAGAGAGAGGCACAGUUACUCAGCAGGAAAUAAGCACAAGACUUUUCCAGCCAACAACAAAAAAAACUGAGGCUGCAGUGGGAACAGGCUCAUCAUCACCAACCAGCCUGGGGUGAUAAAUCCUCUUUCUGCUCAGGCUGCAGACAGUCGGGUCAGAAAGUGGCAGCAACAGCGUGAAUCCCUGAACCCAACCUGCCUCCUGUCAGUGGUCCGAGCUGCUGCUGGUGCUGCUGCUGGUGCUGCUGGUGGGAGGGUAAUGUGUGUGGCUACAUUUUUAGGGGCCGACAAUGCAAAUCAAUCAUUGUUUAUACGACACAGCUUGUCUGAGUAUUGCUGUUGACCACGUGCAUCUCUUUAUAGCCACAGUCGAUCAUCUUUUAAUGUCUAAUUCUACCGUGAUAAUGGACAAUGUCACACAGGUCGUCUCAAACAGCUGUGAACAUCCGUGUUGAGAGCAGAGGAACUACACCGACAGUACAAGUGUUCUGGAUAUAAAGAGCUGAGUACAGUUACAGUUGCACUUCUGGAUUCUGUGCGGUAGAGGGCAGUGAGUAAUUGUUGCUGUGGAUGUGAGGAGUGUCUCAUCCUCAGCGACGACGAUGGGAGACGCUGUGGAUCCAGGAAUAGACUCCACCGUUCUCCACACAGCGGUUUUCUCUGUUUACUCCUUUAGUGACAUGUGAAAAGACAAAUAUUUGAUUGUAUAAGAUGUCGUGCAAGUGGAAUUAACCAUUAGACCCUAAAAAGUCUGUUUUUGCUAUAAACACAUUGCAACUUAUCAGUAUGAAUAAGAUUUGUUCCUCCAAGAUGUAAAGAACGUCUCUAAACAUCCCAUCACUCUUUCAAGAUUUGGACUGAGACUUUUCCUUUUCACUCUUUUUAAAACCUAGUAUCUACUCUCUAAAAAGAGAUGGAUUCAAUAAACCUCGGGCAACUAUUAAUUUAUUUA